rnacentral:lncRNA from 1 species
CGCUGUCUGGCAGGACCUGGUGGGUCAAGAGAGGCGCUGGCCCGGAUGUGGUCUCGUUUACAGUCUUGUGAAUGAGCAACUCAACACGCAAAGGAAAGUCUUAGAAUGGGGCCUCUGGCAUGAUCGCUGGGUCCUGCUUGUUCCCAGCCAUCAGCAUGGACCCUUUGGGGGCCAUCCACGUGUGAGGAAUGACCUGGCUCAAGAUGAAGCUGCCCCCAGCCUGGAGGUCUCUGGUCUCGGUCACGAGGGUGGGCAGAAGUCAAUCUCUCUGGAGCUUGUGGAUGAGGAGAGCCCGGUGAGGACAGCUGUCUACAGGCCAGAGAGAGUGACCGCAGAAACCACCCCCGCAGGCACCUUGAUCUUGCACCUGCAGCCUCCAGGACCGUGGGAAAUUAAGUUCCUGUCAUGGGCUCUUGAAAGCAGGGCCACCUGCUGCCUGGCUGAUGGCCUCCACCUUCACGGCUUUGAGUGUCCACUCAAUCAACUCGGGUUUCCCACGUGGCCCCUCCAGCGCUGACGUCUCCUCUGGGCUCCAUCUGCGUGGCUGCCUCCCUGGUCCGGGCCCCUUUCAGCAUCACCCCUUCUCCUCUCCGGGUUCAUGCCAGCCCCCUGCCUGCUCUCCGCGCAGCACACACCCUGGCCUUUCUGUCCCCUCGACAUGCCGAGCUUGGUCUCCCCUCUGAGCCUUCGCUCAUGCUGCUCCCUCCACCUGGAACGUUUUCCCCACUCCCUCAUGGGGCUGACACCUUUUCAUGAAGGGCUGAGUUCAGCCAUUAUCAACGCCAGAGCCUCCAGCGACC